AUUGAACGCUGGCGGCAGGCCUAACACAUGCAAGUCAAGCGGAUGAAGGGAGCUUGCUCCUGGAUUCAGCGGCGGACGGGUGAGUAAUGCCUAGGAAUCUGCCUGGUAGUGGGGGAUAACGUCCGGAAACGGGCGCUAAUACCGCAUACGUCCUGAGGGAGAAAGUGGGGGAUCUUCGGACCUCACGCUAUCAGAUGAGCCUAGGUCGGAUUAGCUAGUUGGUGGGGUAAAGGCCUACCAAGGCGACGAUCCGUAACUGGUCUGAGAGGAUGAUCAGUCACACUGGAACUGGGACACGGUCCAGACUCCUACGGGAGGCAGCAGUGGGGAAUAUUGGACAAUGGGCGAAAGCCUGAUCCAGCCAUGCCGCGUGUGUGAAGAAGGUCUUCGGAUUGUAAAGCACUUUAAGUUGGGAGGAAGGGCAGUAAGUUAAUACCUUGCUGUUUUGACGUUACCAACAGAAUAAGCACCGGCUAACUUCGUG
rnacentral:rRNA from 1 species